rnacentral:rRNA from 1 species
UACGAAGGGGGCUAGCGUUGUUUGGAAUUACUGGGCGUAAAGCGCACGUAGGCGGAUCGAUCAGUCAGGGGUGAAAUCCCAGAGCUCAACUCUGGAACUGCCUUUGAUACUGUCGAUCUAGAGUAUGGAAGAGGUGAGUGGAAUUCCGAGUGUAGAGGUGAAAUUCGUAGAUAUUCGGAGGAACACCAGUGGCGAAGGCGGCUCACUGGUCCAUUACUGACGCUGAGGUGCGAAAGCGUGGGGGAGCAAACAGGG